rnacentral:rRNA from 1 species
GACGAACGCUGGCGGCGUGCUUAACACAUGCAAGUCGAACGGAAAGGCCCCCACUUUUUUGGUGGGGGUGCUCGAGUGGCGAACGGGUGAGUAACACGUGGGUGAUCUGCCCUGUACUUCGGGAUAAGCUUGGGAAACUGGGUCUAAUACCGGAUAGGACCAUGGUUUAGUGUCUCAUGGUGGAAAAAUUAUUGUUUUGGUGCAGGAUGAGCUCGCGGCCUAUCAGCUUGUUGGUGGGGUAAUGGCCUACCAAGGCGUCGACGGGUAGCCGGCCUGAGAGGGUGGACGGCCACAUUGGGACUGAGAUACGGCCCAGACGCCUACGGGAGGCAGCAGUGGGGAAUAUUGCACAAUGGGCGCAAGCCUGAUGCAGCGACGCCGCGUGGGGGAUGACGGCCUUCGGGUUGUAAACUCCUUUCGUUAGGGACGAAGCCGCACCUUUUUUGGGUGUGGUGACGGUACCUUUGUUAAGAAGCACCGGCUAACUACGUG